ACGAACGCUGGCGGCAGGCCUAACACAUGCAAGUCGAACGCUCCCUUCGGGGGGAGUGGCGGACGGGUGAGUAACGCGUGGGAACCUGGCUCUUGGUACGGAACAACCGCGGGAAACUGCGGCUAAUACCGUAUACGCCCUGAGGGGGAAAGAUUUAUCGCCGAGGGAUGGGCCCGCGUCUGAUUAGCUUGUUGGUGAGGUAACGGCUCACCAAGGCAUCGAUCAGUAGCUGGUCUGAGAGGAUGAUCAGCCACACUGGGACUGAGGCACGGCCCAGACUCCUACGGGAGGCAGCAGUGGGGAAUAUUGGACAAUGGGGGCAACCCUGAUCCAGCCAUGCCGCGUGAGUGACGAAGGCCUUAGGGUUGUAAAGCUCUUUCAGUGGUGACGAUGAUGACGGUAACCACAGAAGAAGCCCCGGCUAACUCCGUGCCAGCAGCCGCGGUAAU
rnacentral:rRNA from 1 species